GCCUUUGAAAAGUAACAGUGAAAUAUGAGAAUUAAUGCAUGCAAUAGGUUUGUUUGCUUUUUUGUUUGCAUUGUAGGCAAAGUCAGCAUUGGGCAGUGUGUAAUUUUACAUUUGAUAUGAAUAUUUUACAUGUGAACAUAAUCUACUAAUAAUACUCAUCAAUACUCAGGCAUGUCCCUAGGAACACAUUACUUGCAUGCACCACCUCUCAACUUGUGUGCCUAAUCUCACAGAAGUGGACCUCCUAAUCCUUAUAUUUAAUAUUUGCCUUUGUAUUGCUUAUUUAUGCAUUUUGCCAGACUUCAAUGUAUCCAGAUCUUUUAGUACCAUAUUAAUGAAUGGUGUCUACCAUUCUGUCUAAUUUAUAUACUGCUGUCCCUUAAGCCCAUCUAACAUGACUAUCAGGAAUCUAUUAACUGUCUCCAGUCUCAUAACUUAAAGAUAUUAUCACACACUGGGCAAGUCAAGAUACCUUUGUGUUGUUGAGGGUCAGUGAUGGUUUCUCCACUGGAAUCAUCACCAUCAGGAUUGAUCGCGAUGUCAUCCAGCCCUUUCCCCUGCAGGUCAGACAGUUUUCCUUUCUCCAUUGCAAUCAACAGUUUGCUGACUUUUGCAAGCUGCAGGGUACUCUCUGGAAGCCGGUAGAAUUCUCGAUGGACACGGAUGUCGUGUCCGAGAAAGGUGGCAAGUUGAUCCAUUUCACAUUUUCUUUUAGAUUUAGUACUGUGGACAAAGUAGCAACUUGUUUCCGCAAUCUUGUUGAGGUAAGGGCCUCUGGGUACUUUGCACCACAUUUAUUUGAAUACUUGCGAAAGCAGUCAGAGCCACUGUAAUGGGAAAGGACACCUGGGCGUGCAAACAAGUACACAUUCUCUGUGCGGACUUGACACUCACUUCUGGCUUUUGCGAGGAGCUCCAUUGCAGCGAUCAUGUCAGAUGUGAGAAGCACAGGCUCUGGUGACUCUGUAGACUCUUGAGUCUAGAAAAGCAGCUGUUGGACAGAAAGAUGUCAACUGAGUGGGUGCCAGCAGUUUUGUCCACGUGUGUAUGUCCCACUGGGAGGAGUUCCCCUGGAUAAGCUGGAGGUGGUGGCUGGGCAGAGAGAGUUCUGGGCUUCUCUGCUUGGAUCCCAGGGGCAGGAUCCUGACUGCAGAUAAAUGGAACAGUGCAAUGAUUCAGCUUGGUCUAUCUUGAGGAUACCAGGAGAGACGAGCCCUCCGUCACAGGUGGUGUGUUCAGUGAAGAAAGUCACCUGCAGAUUCAAGACCAUUGCAUCUCUAUCCCACAUUCACUGCCACUGUACAUAAGGGAAGUUGAACUUUCUUCAACCACUGCAUUUUCAUCAUCUUAAUCCAUGAGUCAUUCAGGCAGUAAUGCCUGGACUGAGCAGGACUGCUUAAACUUGGGUUCAAAAUAAUUCAAUCUAAAACUUUGGUUUUGUUUUUUUUGUAAGGUUAUUAAAGUUUUAAAUUGUUUAACAAAUAAAUAUGAAAAUUUAAUUUGAUAAUAUUUGAAGUAUAAUUAAAUAACACAAGCUACAAUAGUGGGAAUAUACUUGUUUGUCAUUACAGUGUCCAGUAUGUUGGCUAAUAAAUAGUUUUUGCAUUUGAAAAUAAAAGUUGAGCUGAUUUCAGCUGCAUCACAAAAUGUGUUUUAUUAUUUUUUUUUUAAUCAUACUUGCAUACAUUGUUUAUUGAUUAGGUGUUGUACUAGAAAGCUCUUAUGUUCAAGGAUGACAAAAUGUAAUGUGAUUUAGUUGCAUUAUGAUUUGUAUGCAAGUAAAAUUAAAUUGCAAGUUACCACAAAUUGUUUUUAAUGUAGUUAAACUUAAUGUUUAUUUCAGUGGAUAAACAUUUAAUGUCUCAUUCAGGAAAUUUGGGGGGGGUGGCCAGUUUAGUGGCGACCCUGUCAUCAAGAUAUAUUCUGGCAAAAUUGAGAGGAGCCUUUAUGUUCCUUUUGCUUAGCGAUGGUUUUCGUCUUGGAACUCUGCCAUGCAGGCCAUUUUUGCCCAGUCUCUUUCUUAUAUUGGAGUUAUAUUGCAAGUGAGGCCUGCAGUUCUUUGGAGGUUGUUCUGGGGUUUUUUUUGUGAACUCUUCAAUGAGUAGUUGCUGUGCUCUUGGGAGUAAUUUUGGAAGGGCGGUCACUCCUGGCAAGGUUAAUCACUGUUCCAAGUUUUCUCAUUUGUUCCUGAAUUUCCUUGGAUUGUGGCAUGAUGUCUGGCUUUUGAGGAUCUUUUGGUCUACUCCACUUUGUCAGGCAAGUUAUAUUAAAGUGAUUUAGCAACCACAAUGCCUUAGAAAUGGCAAAUGGCAAACCACAGCCCUCACUGGUUUGCUGUGCUGCCUGUGGACACUCAAAUUGCUCAGAAGACAUGCAUAUUUUUCCCACUGAUCACAAAAAGAGAAAGGAAUAGUUGGCUCGAGUCAGUAGGAGUGACCUUAAACUGACAAAAGAUUACAACAGAAAAGUAUUUGAGGUAAAAUCGUAACAAUGCAUUUGCACUUUUCACAAAGAUCACACCACUGGGAAGAUUGAUUAAAAGGUAAAUUAAAAACCAUUUCAGGAAAUGUUUACUUUAUUGUUUUUACGUGGUUGGAAAUCCUUUAACCACACAGGUGGAGUAGCAACUCUUGCACUUCUUUGAACCAAUAGUCUUUUUUUUUCUGGCUUUGCUGUUCUGAGUGGGAUGUCUGGCAGCAUACAUUAGUACUUCCUCCAAUCUGCUUCUCAACAGUCAACAAACAGGUGGUAUAAACUUUGAAGAGCAUCUUUUCUGCUUGGCACAAAGACACAGCUCAGAUUUGGACUCAUUAGACCAAAGCACAGAUUUCCACUGGUCUAAUGUCCAUUCCUUGUGUUUCUUGGCCCAAACAAAUCUCCUCUGCUUGCUUUUCCUUUGUAUUGGUUUCUUAGCAGCUAUCUGACCAUAAAGGUCUGAUUUGCGCAGUCUUCUCUGAACAAUUGAUGUAGAGAUGUCUGGUACUGGAACUCUGUGUGGCAUUUAUCUGGGCGUUGAGGUGCUGUUAACUUGCGAUUUGUGGGGCUAGUGACUCAGAUGAAUUUCUCCUCAGCAGCAGAGGUGACUCUUGGUCUUCCUUUUCUGGAGUGGUCCUCAUUUGAGCCAGUUUCAUCAUAGUGCUUGAUGGUUUUUGCAACUACGCAUUCAAAGUUUUAGCAAUUUUCAGGCCGACUGACCUUUAGUUCUUAAAAUAAUGAUGGACUGUCAUUUCUCUGUACUUUGCUGAUUGGUUCUUGCCAUAAUAUGAAUUCUAACAGUUGUCACAUAGGUUGGUACAUAGCUGACAGCCCUGACUUCUGCACAACAAAACUGAUUGUCCCAACCCCAUUAAGAAGGCAAGAAAUUCCCCAAAUGAACCCUGACAAGACACACCUGUGAAGUGAAAACCAUUUCAUGUGACUACACCAUGAAGCUUAUUGAGAGAAGGCAAAGUUUGCAGCGCUGUCAACAAAGUAAAGGGUGCCAAAAAUAUAUAUCUAUACAACAUAUCUAUGUAUACAUGUAUAUGUGGGCAAGAGAAUUAAAACACACAGUUGUUAGGCUUCACUUCACAGUCAGUGUUUCAGUAGUUUUCCUCUUUUUCACCCAAAAAUAUUUGUGUUAAACUGUCAACCAAUGUUCCCUCUAAGCUGCGCACGUGCGCAAUUGCGCACUGCUGGCACGGUCUCUGAGCACAGAAAAUCU